UACGUAGGUGGCAAGCGUUGUCCGGAAUUAUUGGGCGUAAAGCGCGCGCAGGUGGUUUCUUAAGUCUGAUGUGAAAGCCCACGGCUCAACCGUGGAGGGUCAUUGGAAACUGGGGAACUUGAGUGCAGGAGAGAAGAGUGGAAUUCCACGUGUAGCGGUGAAAUGCGUAGAGAUAUGGAGGAACACCAGUGGCGAAGGCGGCUUCCUGGUCUGUAACUGACACUGAGGCGCGAAAGCGUGGGGAGCAAACAGG
rnacentral:rRNA from 1 species